UGGCAGCGUGCCAAAAUGAAGGUGUCAAACCACAAUUUGACACGAGCUGCGUCUCCUUUAUAAAUGGAUCCUUCGCUCAGAUUCGUGAACAUACUUCACCACAGACUCGAAGGAUUAAGGACUUGCAUCGCUCGGGAAUAAUCGUAUGGAGUGCUCUACUUGUCAAACUAGGACUAUGGAGAUAACCAUUAAUUCUUGCCUUGGACAUACCGGAUAUAAUAAUGAAAAUACAACACGAGCCAACAUACACGCGUGCUCUGUUUUGGAGACCGUGGACACAAGGACAGUUGGAACAAAGGGACUCUCAUGGGUUUUACGGCAAAUAUCCAGUUGAAUUGAUGCAAAGAAGCCCAACAGAAGCCCACAUCCUGUAAAGUUAUUCUGGCCUCGAUCGCGCUGCUAUGAUUAUCUGUAUCAGGACGCCGAAGCGCUGCUUCGGAAUUAUCCCGUCCAGGCGACUGUCUGUCUUUACGCAGACUCCAGCAGCGACGAGGAGGACGAGAAAGAAAUGUACUUGACAGAUUUAUGAAUGACAAUU